rnacentral:rRNA from 1 species
UACGUAGGUGACAAGCGUUGUCCGGAUUUACUGGGCGUAAAGAGCGCGCAGGCGGUCGAUCAAGUCGAGUGUGAAAGCUCCCGGCUCAACCGGGAAGGGUUAUGCCAGACUGCUAGUCUUGAGUGCGAGAGAGGAGCGUGGAAUUCCGGGUGUAGUGGUGAAAUGCGUAGAGAUCCGGAGGAACCCCAGAGGCGAAGGCGGCGCUCUGGCUCGCAACUGACGCUCAGACACGACAGCAUGGGGAGCGAACGGG